UCCUCCCCUUGUCCUGUUGGUGGCGCCGCCACUCUCUUCCUUGGGAUCGUUCCCGAUCUAAAAUUCACCAGCCAACCACCUUCUCUUUGAUCCAAAUCCUCUCUGACCACAUCCCUGGUUUUUUGGGCAGCUGCCCGAGCAUCUCGAUCCCGAGUGGAUCGAGCGCAAUGCCUCCAAGCCUCGCCACCUGCUCGAUCCAACCCAUCUCUCCAUAUCCAACCACAGUCGUAGGACUCUCCCUCCCCUCAUCAUGAGCCAGGGAGAGGAGCUCCCUGCCACCUCCCACCUCGUGUCGUCCCCGCCGUCCACCACCACCAGGACCAGCCACCAGAGGACGCCAACACCAGCGACUGGCGGAACCCACCGCCCCUGCGGCUGAGCUUGCUGGAGCAGGCACUACCAGGCCAUCACCGCACCCUACCUCUCUUCUCUCUUCUCGCCUCUUGAUCUCUCUUUCUCCCAUUCUCAAACUCUCUCUUUUCUCCUUAUUCUCUACAGGGGACCAAAGCCAUGGACGUCUGAAGCUUCUCCACGCACUUGCCGCCGCCAGCAUCUCCAUCCCCAACGCCUCGUGACUAUCUCCCGAGCAGCCAUGGACGCCACAUCCUCAAGCAGGAGCCACCAUGGCGCCAGCUUUGAACCGCCGCCGCCGCCCUCCAGGAUGGGCCCCGCGUCUGAGCUCCUCGAGUUCUGCCACCGCCUCAAGUUCGUCGCCGCUGGAGACGGGCUCCUCCGCCUUGGAUCCAGCCGUCCCCGCACCGUCCCUACAACUAAGCCCUGCAUCGCGCCAUGAGCGUCUCCUCUGCUCGGCCUCGUCAGCAACUGCUCAUGCCCCCUCCAGCCAUGCAUGGAGUCAAGCGUGUAGACCGCGCCCAUGCCUUGCCUAAUUGCCUCGCCAGCCAGCCGUGGCCUCGGCCUAGCCGCGAGCCAAGGCCUAGCAGUGCCCCUGCAGCCGCUGGCCAGUUUUGGCCCAAGGCUAGAUGUGAGCAGCUCCCCUAGCCGAGUCCAAUUCAGUUUCAACCUAUAUCAUGUUUUUCCCGUGCUGCGUAUUUAGCUAUUAUUCCAGGAAAAACAGAUUUACAAAAAAUGCCAUUAUCUUGCAAUGCUAAUAACUAAUUAACCAUACAUCCAAAUAAAACAUGUCAUAUAUGUGAAAUGCUUAGAAUUUCAUGUAGUUUAUUAGUGUGCAACUUUCAUCCACAAUAAAAUUGUUUAAACUUACUGUUUGCAUCAAUGUGCAUAAAUGUCAUACUAAAUGGUUUAUUUCAUAACUAAAUAACCGUAAUUCCGAUUUAAAUGAACUUUAUAUGUAACUUGUCUAGAAAAAUGUGUAGAUUAACAUGGUGCUUAUUUUGCAUGUUUAACAAAUCUAUAAUACCUAAAUAGUUCAUCCCCACUAACCUAUUUCUCUUGACAUGCAACCUAUCCACCUCAUCACUAUGCCGCAUGCGUCUAUGUCAUUCUCUUUUUCUCCCACCAUCACGCUGCUGCAUCCCCUUUCAUGCAAUUUCUUACCGCUGGGUCGUACAUCAACUUUUUAAUUAAUACCUUUCCUUUUCGUCUCCUCCAAUUCCACUCACAAAACAAUCAAAAGCCGAUUGUCCCUGCGUGGUCACGUCCAUUAUUUCCUUCCGCCCUUUGGUAUAAUCAUCAUAUUGAAAAUGUGUGACCGCUUGCCCCGAUGGUUCCUUUCAUCUUCUCUCAAUCAAUAUAUCUCCACUGAACUUGCCUUCAAGUCUUCCAAUUAAAACGGUUCCUCCUUAACAUUCCCCCCCCCCCGCUGUACAUAUACUAUGCUGUGGCUUUUGCGUUUGCAUCAAACCUUUCGCCACCAUGCGAGUGCCUACAACAUCUACUCCGUACAUCUCUUCGCAGUGUGCAUACAUACCACGUGUGAUCCAAACAGUCAAUCGUUCACCAUGCUCAUGCUCACUUGACAAUAGUACAAUGCAAUCCAUGGUGGAGGACAUCAUGCUGAUGCUGCCGAUGGCCCUCGUGGACUGCAGCCACUGCGCCUUCAUGCCUUGGGACACCUACCCCUCCCUCCUCGACAUCCACGUCCAUGCGGCCGGUGUCCCAGCAGAGACCCUGCUCAUCGCCAAGACCAAGGCAUCCAACAGUAGCCCCGAGACGAACAAAGUUUGAUGUAAUCCACGGUGGAGGACAUCCUGUUGAUGUUGAUGCCGACGUCGCUCUUGGGUUGCGGGCUUGCGGCCACUGUGUCUUCACGCCAUGGCGCGGUAUCAACACCGACCGUUCAUUCCUGACAUCAACGCCCACGCCGCCGGCGUCGUCUCCGGGGUCAGCGUCAUAGCCGAGGCCAUCCUCAUCUCGAAGACCCAAGCGUCCGGCAGGAGCCCCAAGAGAAUGGUGUCCAACGUCUCCAUGCAUGGGAAAAAUAAUUCUAUGCAUAUAUCGUCCUAGCCAGCAGGGUACAUCUCCAACACCUCUCCAACUAUUUACUCUGCUUUGCCGCCGGACACUGCUAUCAGCAUACACUGCCGUGUAUCUUCAUCAUAGCAUCAUGCGUGCCCUUGUGCUACAUCCGGCUGGAUAUAUACAAUCCUGCAUCUCCAUCUCUCAUGUUGGUUCUGUAUGAUUUUCAUUGGUAUUUUUAUUGGUUCCUCCGAUUGUUUUGCAGAGUUAGAAUAUAUGUCAGAUUUCAUUACACUUCAGGAAUGUUGUUCCCGACUGUGUAUGUCAUAGGAUUGAUAUAAUAACUAAGUGAUAAAUGUGAUUUCCACUGUUGUUAUUCUCCUACUUCAGGGUUCUACUAUUUUUUCACACACAAUAUAAUCAUGUAGCGACAUAAAUGAAAGGAAAUAAAAAGCGGCUGUUUUGAACA